UACGUAGGGUGCGAGCGUUGUCCGGAAUUAUUGGGCGUAAAGGGCUCGUAGGCGGUCUGUCGCGUCGAACGUGAAAACCCAGGGCUUAACCCUGGGCCUGCUUCCGAUACGGGCAGACUAGAGGUAUGCAGGGGAGAACGGAAUUCCUGGUGUAGCGGUGAAAUGCGCAGAUAUCAGGAGGAACACCGGUGGCGAAGGCGGUUCUCUGGGCAUUACCUGACGCUGAGGAGCGAAAGUGUGGGGAGCGAACAGG
rnacentral:rRNA from 1 species